AUUGAACGCUGGCGGCAGGCCUAACACAUGCAAGUCGAGCGGAUGAAGGGAGCUUGCUCCUGGAUUCAGCGGCGGACGGGUGAGUAAUGCCUAGGAAUCUGCCUGGUAGUGGGGGAUAACGUCCGGAAACGGGCGCUAAUACCGCAUACGUCCUGAGGGAGAAAGAGGGGGAUCUUCGGACCUCACGCUAUCAGAUGAGCCUAGGUCGGAUUAGCUAGUUGGUGGGGUAAAGGCCUACCAAGGCGACGAUCCGUAACUGGUCUGAGAGGAUGAUCAGUCACACUGGAACUGAGACACGGUCCAGACUCCUACGGGAGGCAGCAGUGGGGUAUAGUGGACAAUGGGCGAAAGCCUGAUCCAGUCAUGCCGCGUGUGUGAAGAAGGUCUUCGGAGUGUAAAGCACUUUAAGUUGGGAGGAAGGGCAGUAAGUUAAUACCUUGCGGGUUUGACGUUACCAACAGAAGAAGCACCGGCUAACUUCGUG
rnacentral:rRNA from 1 species